rnacentral:rRNA from 1 species
AGAGUUAAACAGUGCGUGAAAUUGUUGAAAGGGAAACGUUUGACACCAGUUAUGCGGGUGGAAAAUCAGUCUUUUGCAAUGGGGAGUUGUGGGCGUUCAGACCGCAAGGCUGGCGUUUGCUUCAUCUUUGUUGUAAGUGAUGCACUUUUUCAUUUGCAGGUCAACAUCAGUUUGCUUCGCUGGACAAAACUCUAAGGGAAGGUGACAGCUUAGGCUGUGUUAUAGCCCUGGAGCGAUACAGUGGGGUGGACUGAGGUUUCGCAGUGUGUGCUUUCGGGCAAGGCUGACGGGGUGCUAUGGGAUCGUUCGGCGUACAAUGCUUGCAUUUUGCGUCGUGUCUUUUUCAUACUCGCUCUAAUCAGCUCUUCCACGCUUAGGAUGUUGACUUAAUGGUUUUAAACGACC